rnacentral:rRNA from 1 species
AUGCCGGGGACGACGAGGACAUGGCUGGUGGUGGCGACGGUGCUCGUGGCCGCCACGGUGGCGACGGCGAACGUGGAGACGGGUGAGUUGGGGGAGUACUAUAUGAAGCGCUCGCAGGAGACCCGGUUUCGGCGUGGCGGCCCCCUCCAUGACAUCAUCAGCGCCGCUCGUCGCUACCACCAGCACCUCUUCAGUUCCAGGUACGGCUCAGGCCGGCGGUACCUUCUAGAGGAGGGAGAAGCAGCAGCCGCGGAAGCCCCCGCCGACUCUACCGGUGAUGCUACUCCUAUCCACAAUACGCUCAGAGAUCACGAAAUGAUGGGCGCAUAA